CAACCCGAACAGUUAGACAGAGAAAAAUCCUCCAAGCGCAUCGCCACCCGCUGCCGCGAGCCGCCGCCCGCCGGCCCCAGCCCCGCCACAGGCUACAGCGCGCCGCCACCGCCUACCCCGCCGGCACUCCUACCCCUACCCCAAGUGCCUCCCACGCUCGCUACGUUCUACCGCCGGCGACACUCGACGCCGCGGCCGUUGCCGGCUCCCACACCCGCGGGCCUUUAUCUCCCCGGCGGCCGCCGCCGCCGCCCUGCUCGUCCAGCGGGCUGGCCCUGUCCAUGGGGCGUACGGGCUACCCGCGCCCUUCGACGCCCGCACGCGCCUCCUUCUGCCCUUCCGCCGCGGACGAUGCCGACUUCUCUGAGUCUAAUGCGAUCCUGGUGGUGGCCACGCCCUGCGAGAGUCUGUUGCUGCUCAGCCCAGCGUCUUGCCGUGGCGGGCGCCUGUCGUCGGAGCUCUGGUUGUCGGUUCCAGAGUCGGGUGGUUCCACACAGGGGCGCAUAUCCCGUUGUGCCACCAAUCACUUAAUUCGGCUCUCUUGAGCUGCCCGGCUUCGGCGGCGAAGAUGAUGGCGAUGCCUAGGACACAACGGCCACAUGGGAUGAAACUAGCAGAGAUGAAGAAGGCGGUGGUCGUUGGGAGGAGAAGAUUGCCCGGAAGCUGGAGGACGUGCACCAGCUGCGGUUGCUGGACAACCGCUACGUUUAGUGGCUGAGGGAAUUGUUGGGCUACGAGAAUCAGUCGCUGAUAAGAGGGCUGAGGCUGAGAAGAUCAAGAGGGAUCAGAGAUUGUGCUCAAUUGUUGGUGGUCAGGACGUCAGUUUGCAGGAGUUAUCUGAAGAAAGGACUCACUAUCUGGUUAAAUGUUCCAUUGGAUGCCCUUGCAAGAAGGAUUGCUGCGGUGGUUCAGCGUCACUGCCCCUCCUGCAUCAACAAUCUGGUGAUCCAUAUGCAAAGGUUCAGAAGAGCUAUUUUGUGUACAUGAGUUGCUACUGGCAGUGGACAGAUUGUCUAUGCAGAGUGCGUAGAGAAAAAAAUGCUCACAUACAAACACAAACGACAUCCAGUAGGCGCUUGGAACACCCGACAGAUUGAAAGCACAGAAGCAAAGAUUUCCAAUACGAGGCCACGAUGCCCGACAGAGAUGUAGCCAAUAUGUGCCCAAUCCUUAUUUCUUGAUGUUGGAACAACAAGUAAGAGCAUGUUCAUGUUUACUUAUUAUGUUUUUUGAGAAAUUUAUGGGAUUUACAAGCUGAAAUUAUUGACUGCUUCAAAAUAUGUUUUAACCAAAACUGUUUGCACGAUAUUUCCCUGGUUCUGCAUUCAUGGAAUUGCUAAAAAAAUGAACAAGUUCAGUGAUAGUUUUGUUCCUAUUAAUAUUUCGUCCAAGGUGCCAGUUUGUUUCUUAAGUUUUUCUUUUAACUUCAAAAUUCAGAGGAAGUCAAUGUUUGUUUUAUAGUUCAAACCAAUCACUGGUAAGAUCUAUUCCAAAACGAUAUUGUCUCUUGAUGCGAGGUUACCCAAAUAUAUUCUUCAUCAUGGCCAAAGAUAAAUUUAAUUCCGGGUUAAAAACUUUAGAAUAACUGUGUUUAUAGAUUUUCUAGCUAAGGGUUGCUUUUGUUUAGCUGGAACUCAAAUCAUGAUCAGAUGUACCUAAAAUGAUGAUUUCGGCUCCGUGCUAGCUAUUUCUGAUUUUGAAGCUAUCCUUGCACAUUACAUUAUACAAGUUGAAAACUGUGCGGAGUGGAAGUUGGUACUAAAGCGGACUGCUCUUUUUGAUCUGCACACAAAUUUCAGUUAUAAUAUGUGCCACUCAUUUUGUUACCAAGUUGGGAUGAUUUUUACCACUUUGUUUUAAUUCAGUAAUUCCCGCGCUCACCUAAUAUUCUUUUAGGAUGCUUCCCAUCUCGACAAAUUUAUCAUACCACAAUUUAUGCAUAAUGAUACUUCCUCUGUCCCAAAAUUCUUGUCUUGGAUUCGUCUAGAUAUGGAUGUAUCUAAUAUUAAAACAUGACUUGAUACAUCCGUAUUUAGACAAAUUUAAGACAAGAAUUUUGAGACGGUGGGAGUAAAAUACUCAUGGCAGUAUGCCAAACGCAUUGUAGUAUAUUCCCGUUGGUUAUGUAGUGAUUUUUAGCACAAAAAUGGGACCCACUGCCAUUAUAGGUAUGAGGAAUUACAACCCGGUGCUGGGAGGGGAUCGCAAAAGCUGUGUGCUAGAGUGUAAUGCACAAGCAAUCUGUAGAUUUUUUUUGGUGGAGGGGCUUAAUAAGUCUUUUGCCCCCUCAGAAAACUAUGUUCCGUGUUUGGUCCCUCCAGGCAUUCCUGUGAGACUCUGCCUCUGAUGUAAUGACCAAGCUCACCACCUUGGGGUUGAUCACAUUCGUUGUGAAUAGGUGGACGAUGUGACCAUUAUCGACAAUGUGGUGAGCAGGAGAAGUGGAAAUACAGACUAUGACGUACAAGGAUUUGUUUCUCUCAUUGCAACGCACGGGCCCUUUUCCUAGUCUCUCCCUAAUAAUAAAGCAUGGAUUGGGUCUUCGGGUUCACCGUCGCGGUGUUUUUUAGAAAAGUCACUCUCAUUUUAGGUAAUUGAACCCGCAAUCCUCGUGAUAAACACCCCGAACCGGUACGGGGGGAGUCACACCUGCACGACCCUUCCUGCAUCCUGCGGUCCUGCCACGCCCCACCUCACCGAGCGUCUCCGGCCACCCCCUGCCGCCGAGCGUCGCCCCCGCGCCUCUGCCUCACCUAGCGCCCGAUCCAGCCGUCGUUCAUCGCCAGCACACGUGGAUCCGGCCGCCCCUCGCCUUCCCCAUCGGCUGCACCUCCUAGCGCCACCGCCCCUGCCAUACUCCGCCGCUGGAGGAUCUCCGCCCUGCCUGGAUCCACAUCCCCGCGGCGACACCGGCAGUCGGCGACGAUGGACGACCACGGUGUAGUGCCCUUGGUCCUCGCCGUCCCCUUGCCUAUAUGCAAGUAAAAGCGACCAUGGUUCAGGCAUCUGUUGGUUAUUGAAAAAUCUGACAACCGCAAGAGAAUAAGAGCUGCAGACUCAGAGUGUAUGUGAUAUCCCUGCCAGAUUGCUACAGCAUAUUCAUGCUGGUGUUGAGGCAGGGAAAAGGCAGCAGUAGAGGCAUGGGCACUUCAGAAAAGGGUGUUGA